UCCUGCCAGUCAUAUGCUUGUCUCAAAGAUUAAGCCAUGCAUGUCUGAGUACAGACCGAUCUAAGGUGAAACCGCGAAUGGCUCAUUAAAUCAGUCAUAAUUUCUUGGAUAGUGAUAAACUUUCCUCGGAUAACUGUGGAAAAUCCAGAGCUAAUACGUGCAACUGAGCUCCGACCUCGACGCGAGUCUUGGGAAGAGCGCAUUUAUUAGAUUCAAAACUGACCGGUGUACUCCUUCGGGAUACGCCGUUUGUCAAAAUGUUUGAUGACUCCGGAUAACUUAGCCGAGCGCUACGGUCUUUAGUACCGGCGCCGUAUCUUUCAAGUGUCUGCCUUAUCAGCUUUCGAUUGUAGGUUAAACGCCUACAAUGGCUGUAACGGGUAACGGGGAAUCAGGGUUCGAUUCCGGAGAGGGAGCCUGAGAAACGGCUACCACAUCUAAGGAAGGCAGCAGGCACGCAAAUUACCCACUCCCAGCCCGGGGAGGUAGUGACGAAAAAUAACGAUGCGAGACUCUUCCGAGGCCUCGCAAUCGGAAUGAGUCCAUUUUAAAUCCUUGGACGAGGAUCCAUUGGAGGGCAAGUCUGGUGCCAGCAGCCGCGGUAAUUCCAGCUCCAAUAGCGUAUAUUAAAGUUGCUGCGGUUAAAAAGCUCGUAGUUGGAUUUCCUUAAUCCAAUUCGUGGGUGAGUCGCUCUUAGUAUUAGCGCCACGUGCAGUUCCUUGAUGACGUUGUAGUUUUCAUCGUCGCGCGCGUUCUUCUUCUCGUUCUUCUUCUUCUUAUUCUACUCUUCCUCUCUUUGGGCUGCUUCAACGCGGUCCAUCGAAGGUCGAUGUUAGAGCGAGAUAGAGAGAAAGAGAGAGGUUCCUCCGCCGGCGGCGUAACUGCAUCAGAAACUCGUGGACGGCGAGGUGUUGUCUUUGAGUAUAGCUCGUCCGCGUUUGGUACAAUUACAAUUUUGUCGGCUCGCUCGGAGUGCUCUUUACCGAGUGUUCCAGGGUGGCUGACACGUUCACUUUGAAAAAAUUAGAGUGCUUAAAGCGGGCUUAUUUACGGCCUGAAUGUCUGUGCAUGGAAUGAAGUAACAGGACCUCGAUUCUGUUGUUUUUGUCGGUUUUAUUGAACCGAGGUAAUGAUUAAAAGGGACAGACGGUGGCAUUAGUAUUGCGACGCUAGAGGUGAAAUUCUUGGACCGUCGCAAGACUAACUACUGCGAAAGCAUUUGCCGAGAAUGUUUUCAUUAAUCAAGAACGAAAGUUAGAGGAUCGAAGGCGAUCAGAUACCGCCCUAGUUCUAACCCUAAACUAUGCUAACUAGCGAUCCGCCGGAGUCAUUCCCACGACUCGGCGGGAAGCCCCAGGGAAACCAAAGUCUUUGAGUUCCGGGGGAAGUAUGGUUGCAAAGCUGAAACUUAAAGGAAUUGACGGAAGGGCACCACCAGGAGUGGAGCCUGCGGCUUAAUUUGACUCAACACGGGAAACCUCACCAGGCCCGGACAUCAUAAGGAUUGACAGGUUGAGAGCUCUUUCUCGAUUUGAUGGGUGGUGGUGCAUGGCCGUUCUUAGUUGGUGGAGUGAUCUGUCUGGUUGAUUCCGAUAACGAACGAGACUCUACCCUACUAACUAGUCGGCGGAUCGUAACCCUGAGAUGGUUAGUUUGUAUAGGAGAGUUUUUGCCGAGAUGGCCUCUCUGCGCGAGAUCGCUAGUGCGGUAGUGGGAGCGGCGUCGGCAUUGUUUUCGUCGUCGUUCUUUUCUGCUGUUGCUGGUGGUUUACCGCUGAUACCGUCGAAGCGGCUUUCCGAUUACUACUACUGCUGGGGGCGUCUGUCGUAAUAUAUCUUCUUAGAGGGAUCAGCGGCGUAUAGCCGCACGAGAAAGAGCAAUAACAGGUCUGUGAUGCCCUUAGAUGUUCUGGGCCGCACGCGCGCUACAAUGUAGGGCUCAGCGUGCUUUCCCUCUCCGAAAGGAGAUGGGUAACCCGUUGAAACCCCUACCCGAUUGGGAUUGGGGAUUGCAAUUAUUUCCCAUAAACGAGGAAUUCCCAGUAAGCGCGAAUCAUUAAUUCGCGCUGAUUACGUCCCUGCCCUUUGUACACACCGCCCGUCGCUACUACCGAUUGAAUGAUUCAGUGAGGGCAUCGGACUGGCCCUUCGGUUUAGUUACCUAGACCUUAGGCUGACGGAAAGAUGUCCGAACUUGAUCAUUAG
rnacentral:rRNA from 1 species